AGCUGAUGCAUCUUGUGGUUUCUCUCCCAGUACCACCGCAUUAGCUGUUCCCCUCUGGAGGUUUUUUGACCUUCACAAUUAUAAGGGCCCUGGUUUUCCGGUGGCCCUCUUUU
rnacentral:ncRNA from 23 species